rnacentral:ribozyme from 1 species
AUCUUUCUACUUUCCCAGCUCUCUUUUCUUCUUACUCAAUCACCCUCUGUGUUCUUUCUCGGUCGACCGGGGACAUAAAACCGUCCCCUCAAAAGCCAGAGAAGAGAGGUCGAUUUGAGGUGAGAUGAGCAAGAAAGAGUGAAAGACAAAGAGGAAACGAAAUUCCAAUUCCGUUUUUUCCUUCUCUGUCGAAUGGACUGACUGACAGAAUGAGAGAGAACCUUAAGGCAUUAAUUCAA